rnacentral:rRNA from 1 species
UACGUAGGGGGCAAGCGUUGUCCGGAAUCAUUGGGCGUAAAGCGCGUGUAGGCGGUUCGAUAAGUCUGCUGUGAAAGUCCAGGGCUCAACCCUGGAAAGCCGGUGGAUACUGUCAGACUAGAGUGCGGAAGAGGCGAGUGGAAUUCCCGGUGUAGCGGUGAAAUGCGCAGAUAUCGGGAGGAACACCAAUUGCGAAGGCAGCUCGCUGGGACGUUACUGACGCUGGGACGCGAAAGCGUGGGGAGCAAACAGG